GCGGACGGCCGCGGGCCUGGGGACCUGCCCACCUGCCCACCUGCCCACCUGCGGACCUGUGGGACCUGCGGGGCCUGCCCAGCUGCGGGGCCUAGACCGGCGGACCUGCCCACCUGCGGACCUCCUGACCUCCCGACCUGCGGGGCCUGGGGACCUGCCCACCUGCCCACCUGCCCACCUGCCCACCUGCGGACCUGCGGGACCUGCGGGGCCUGCGGGGCCUGCCCACCUGCGGGGCCUAGACCUGCGGACCUGCGGACCCGCGGGACCUGCAGAUCUGCUGACCUGCCAAUCUGCGGACCUGCGAAGCCUGGACCUGCAGGGCCUGCUGACCUGCCCGGCCUGCGUACCUGCCGGGUCUGCUGACCUGCGGGCCUGGGCCUGCCGGGCCUGCGUUCCUGCUGGGCCUGCGUACCUGCGGAGCCUGCUGACCUGCUGGGCCUGCUGACCUUGCCGGGCCUGCGCACCUGCGGGGCCUGCGUACCUGCGGGGCCAGGGCCUGCAGGGCCAGGGCCUGCUGACCUUGCCGGGCCUGCGCACCUGCGGGGCCUGCGUACCUGCGCCCAGCAGCACGCAACCUCGGUGGCUCGAGCCCCGCUGCCCCGCACUGCCCCCGGGGGCCUCCCGCAAAUGGCCCUGCGAGUGCGGGCGCUUCGGGGCCGUGCAGGGCCUGCUGGGGUGACGCCCCUACCUCCCGAACCUCUGUUCCCCAGGUGACAGCCCGGCCCGGGAGCCUGCGAACCGAGCAGGCCGCGCGCCCCCGGAGCAGGUUCCCACGCCGCCCGCUGAGGCCGCCUGGAGCUGGGCCCUGUCUGGCGCCAUCCGCUGUGUUGGGAAAACUGCAGCCCCGCUCAGGCUGCCUUGCACCUGUCCCGGUGUACAGGCACAGAGAACCAGCUGCUUGCUCUUAGAAGUAACAGGCCCUCCUCUCCGUUAGCUGCCAUCGCGGCAAAUUAAAACGCCUUCUGUUUUCUAAACAACAUAAUUCACAACGGGAGAGGAAGCUGUAGUGCUCUGUGCAACAGAAUCUGAAGGAGAAGGGCUCAGAAGUGAAAGAAACAGGGUGAAAAUAUCUCUAAGUCAUACAGCUGGAAGGCAUUGAUAAAUCUAAUGCAGUUCCCUCAUUCUACAGAGGAGAAAUAUAAGGGGAUGAAUAACUUGACCAAGGUCACAUGAUAACAUUAUAACCGGUUGCCUGGGAAAUGAAGAGGGUAUCAUAAAUUAAAACUAGAAGUGGCUUACGAUAUUAAUAUUGAAUAUUAAAAAAAUGUGAAGUUACGAAGUUCUCUGAAGAGAAUCUUGCCAUAAUGUUGAAAUAAAGAAGAAAAACCAAGUAAGAGAAUCCAAAAGCAAAAUACAGAACAUCCUCUCAACAAAUUUAC